rnacentral:rRNA from 1 species
GGGUUAAGUCCCGCAACGAGCGCAACCCUUGAUCUUAGUUGCCAGCAUUCAGUUGGGCACUCUAAGGUGACUGCCGGUGACAAACCGGAGGAAGGUGGGGAUGACGUCAAAUCAUCAUGCCCCUUAUGACCUGGGCUACACACGUGCUACAAUGGACAGAACAAAGGGCUGCGAGACCGCAAGGUUUAGCCAAUCCCACAAAUCUGUUCUCAGUUCGGAUCGCAGUCUGCAACUCGAC